UCACACUUUAACAUGUUUGAACUUGACGUUAUAAUGGAUACACCAUUGGCUUUUUUGCUAACAUUCAAUAACGUUAGUGUCAGUUGUGAUGUUUUCUACCAAUCAACUUCACAUCAAACAUGUCAAAGACUGUAUAACAUUUAAAAAAAAUAUGUUUAUGGAUUCUGCAUGGUACCCAUAUCAUGCAUAUAUGUAUAUUAUUGGACCAAAAUAUCAAAUUUGCUGGAACAUGCCUUUUAUAUAUAUGUUGGACAAUGUUGCUGUCAUCGCAUCCAAGCAAAUUAUCUCCUUGAAAAUUACACCUUACAACAUGUAUGAUGCACAAUGAUGCAGUUAUUCAGAAGAAAAGGACUAUAAAGUACAGUACUAUGAAACAGGGG
rnacentral:lncRNA from 1 species